rnacentral:rRNA from 1 species
CUCGGAAUCACUGGGCGUAAAGGGUGCGUAGGCGGGUCUUUAAGUCAGAGGUGAAAUCCUGGAGCUCAACUCCAGAACUGCCUUUGAUACUGAGGAUCUUGAGUACGGGAGAGGUGAGUGGAACUGCGAGUGUAGAGGUGAAAUUCGUAGAUAUUCGCAAGAACACCAGUGGCGAAGGCGGCUCACUGGCCCGUUACUGACGCUGAGGCACGAAAGCGUGGGGAGCAAACAGG